UACGUAGGGUGCAAGCGUUAUCCGGAAUUAUUGGGCGUAAAGAGCUCGUAGGCGGUUUGUCGCGUCUGCUGUGAAAACUGGGGGCUCAACCCCCAGCCUGCAGUGGGUACGGGCAGACUAGAGUGCGGUAGGGGAGAUUGGAAUUCCUGGUGUAGCGGUGGAAUGCGCAGAUAUCAGGAGGAACACCGAUGGCGAAGGCAGAUCUCUGGGCCGUAACUGACGCUGAGGAGCGAAAUCAUGGGGAGCGAACAGG
rnacentral:rRNA from 1 species